rnacentral:tRNA from 1 species
GCCAUAGCUCAGUGGUAGAGCAUCUGCUUUGCAUGCAAAAAGUCCCAGGUUCAAUUGCCAGUAUCUCCA